rnacentral:rRNA from 1 species
ACCUUCGGGCCUCAUGCCAUCAGAUGUGCCCAGAUGGGAUUAGCUAGUAGGUGGGGUAACGGCUCACCUAGGCGACGAUCCCUAGCUGGUCUGAGAGGAUGACCAGCCACACUGGAACUGAGACACGGUCCAGACUCCUACGGGAGGCAGCAGUGGGGAAUAUUGCACAAUGGGCGCAAGCCUGAUGCAGCCAUGCCGCGUGUGUGAAGAAGGCCUUCGGGUUGUAAAGCACUUUCAGCGGGGAGGAAG